CCACCCACUUCUUUCCAAGGACACACUUUGUUCUAAAUCCCAACGGCUUCACUCUCCCUCGAACACACAAAAAGAGCAGGAAGCUGCACCUAGGUUGUUAGCGUGAGCUGCGUGCGAUCUCUCUCUGAGCCCAAGAUGAAAGAAGUAAAAGGAAAGGAAGCGCUCAAUGUGAAGCUUGCAUUUGGAGCACUCUCCAGGAGACCUAAGUGAGAGAGGAAAGGCAGAAGAGUGUGCAGAAGGACAAGGGACUGGAUAGGUGACAUGGCUGACACACAGGUGUAUAUUUAGGACAAAGACACGGAAAAAACUGCUGAUCUGCAUCGGGGUGGGUGUCACCUUUUAUGACAUUUUUUAAUUUGAAUGUAUUACGGUGGUUUUCCCUAAAAUUGACAACUAAUAUGUAAAAAUACAUAUAUUAAAAAUUGCCUGAGAAAGACA